rnacentral:siRNA from 1 species
UGUACUACGGGUGAAAUCCG